GUCCUGGUAGUGUAGUGGUUAUCACGUUUGCCUUACACGCAAAAGGCCCCCGGUUCGAUCCCGGGUCAGGACA
rnacentral:tRNA from 1 species